rnacentral:rRNA from 1 species
GAAAUUUGGAUUAAUACCUUAUAGUAUGUAGACUUCUCAUGAAGAUUACAUUAAAGAUUACGGCAAAAGAUGAGUAUGCGUCCUAUUAGUUUGUUGGUGUGGUAACGGCACACCAAGACUACGAUAGGUAGGGGCCCUGAGAGGGGGAUCCCCCACACUGGUACUGAGACACGGACCAGACUCCUACGGGAGGCAGCAGUGAGGAAUAUUGGACAAUGGAGGCAACUCUGAUCCAGCCAUGCCGCGUGCAGGAAGACUGCCCUAUGGGUUGUAAACUGCUUUUAUACAGGAAGAAACACUCCCUCGUGAGGGAGCUUGACGGUACUGUAAGAAUAAGGAUCGGCUAACUCCGUGCCAGCAGCCGCGGUAAUACGGAGGAUCCAAGCGUUAUCCGGAAUCAUUGGGUUUAAAGGGUCCGUAGGUGGAUAAUUAAGUCAGAGGUGAAAGUUUGCAGCUCAACUGUAAAAUUGCCUUUGAUACUGGUUAUCUUGAGUUAUUGUGAAGUAGUUAGAAUAUGUAGUGUAGCGGUGAAAUGCAUAGAUAUUACAUAGAAUACCAAUUGCGAAGGCAGAUUACUAACAAUAUACUGACACUGAUGGACGAAAGCGUGGGUAGCGAACAGGAUUAGAUACCCUGGUAGUCCACGCCGUAAACGA